GCGCCCGCAGGUGCCUGUGCCUGUGUAUCCCGACAAUAAACCAAAUCCUCUUGCUGAUUGCAUCCUGUGGUGUCUCGGUCUGGUCUUUGGAGUUGGAGGGUCUCCAUCCCGAGGGAAAGUUCUCCCUGAGAGCUUUUCAUUUGGUGCAUUGGCCGGGAAAGGAGAUCCUCCACCCAGGGACCACCGACCACCCACUGGGAGGUAAGCCGGCCGGCGUCUGUCUGAUUCUGUCUCCUUCUGCCUUAUUCUGUCUGUUCUGUGAGCGCUCAGCCAGGUCUGUUCUGUGAGUGCUCAGCCAGGUUCUGUGAGCGCUCAGCCAGGUCUGUUCUGUGAGCGCUCAGCCAGGUCUGUUCUGUGAGCGCUCAGCCAGGUUGUUUGGAAUUUGGGCGGGACGAAGAAGGAGCUGACGAGCUCGGACUUCUCGCCCCGCAGCCCUGGAAGACGUUCCAAGGGUGUUGGGGCCCGACUUUUCGGGGCCCAAUCUGGGAGAGGAGAAAGAUCCGGACUAACGGCACCUCUGUCUGUAUUUUUGGCUUUCAGAGGGCCCCGGACCUUUGCCACCUCCAUCUGACUUUUUGCUUUCAGUUUGGUACCAAAGCCGUGCAGCACGCCUGUCUGUUGUUUGUUUGACUGUUGGUGUUGUUUGUUUUCUCUGUGUUCUAAUCUUCCUUAGAACUAACAUGG
ensembl:lncRNA